AACGAACGCUGGCGGCAGGCCUAACACAUGCAAGUCGAGCGAGGACUUCGGUCCUAGCGGCGGACGGGUGAGUAACGCGUGGGAACGUGCCCUUUGCUUCGGAAUAGCCCUUGGAAACUGGGAGUAAUACCGGAUGAGCCCUUUGGGGGAAAGAUUUAUCGGCGAAGGAUCGGCCCGCGUUGGAUUAGGUAGUUGGUGGGGUAAUGGCCUACCAAGCCGACGAUCCAUAGCUGGUUUGAGAGGAUGAUCAGCCACACUGGGACUGAGACACGGCCCAGACUCCUACGGGAGGCAGCAGUGGGGAAUCUUAGACAAUGGGGGAAACCCUGAUCUAGCCAUGCCGCGUGAGCGAUGAAGGCCUUAGGGUUGUAAAGCUCUUUCAGCUGGGAAGAUAAUGACGGUACCAGCAGAAGAAGCCCCGGCUAACUCCGUG
rnacentral:rRNA from 1 species